AUACCCACUAGGAUGGCAAUAAUCAAAGCGGCAGUAAUAACAAGUGUUGUCAAGAAUGCUGAGGAAUUGGAACACUCAUACACUGCUGGUGGGACUACAAAGUGGUGCACCUGCUGUGGAGAAAAGUCUGGCAGUUCUUCGAAAGGUUAAACAUAGAGUUACCAUAUGACCCAGCAAUUUCACUCUUAUGUAUAUGCCCAAGAGAACUAAAAACAUGUCCAAACAAAAACUGGCACAUGAGUGUUCAUAGAAACAUUAUUCAUAGUAGGCAAAAAGUGGAAAUAACCCAGUGUCCAUCAACCGAUGAAUGAAUAAAAUAUGGUAUAUCCUCUCUGGCUCCCGCCUUCGCCCGCUUCCGGUCGUCGUCGUCGCCGCUGCUGCCGCUGCUGCCGCUGCUGCUGCUGCUGCUGCUGCUGGCGGAGGCCGGAGGAUCGGGCGGCGGCGGCUGAGAGGGCGGCGGCGGGAGCGGAGCGGGACGAGGGAGCGAGAGGAAGCGAGCGAGGAGCGAGCGGAGCGCGCCCUUCCGCCCGCCUGAGGAGCCGGAGCAGCCCGGGCCCUGCCGCCGUCGCUGCCGCCUGCCUGCCCGCCGGACAAAGCCAAGAGCCCGCGCCCAGAGCCAUGUCCUCGUCCGCCGGCAGCGGCCACCAGCCCAGCCAGAGCCGCGCCAUCCCCACCCGCACCGUGCCCAUCAGCGACGCCGCACAGCUAUCUCAUGACUAUUGCACCACGCCCGGGGCGACCCUCUUCUCCACCACACCGGGAGGAACUCGAAUCAUUUAUGAUCGAAAAUUUCUGUUGGAUCGUCGCAAUUCUCCCAUGGCUCAGACCCCGCCCUGCCAUCUGCCCAAUAUCCUGGGAGUCACUAGCCCUGGCACCUUAAUUGAAGACUCCAAAGUAGAAGUAAACAAUUUGAACAACUUGAACAAUCAUGACAGGAAGCAUGCAGUUGGGGAUGAUGCUCAGUUUGAGAUGGACAUCUGACUCUCCUGCAAGGAUUAGAAGCAAAGCAGCAACGCUGAUACUUGUGUGUACCUGAUUUGCCAAUAGGAUCAACAAUGAAAAGAAGAGGCAAUACCAGCAGUCCCGUUGCAGUCGCCACCUCCCCUCCUCCUCCCUUGUGUGCCAAAUGAUGGGAAGAUGAGUGUCGUCUGACCAUUCUUCUCCGUUUCCUAUUCCCAUUCCUAGUUAGACAGACUAGAUUGAAGGCCCUUGGUGUAUUUCUGUAGAGCUAAGCAGCCCAUAGAGGAAAACAUUAAACUGUGGCUUCCCUGGUCAUUUUUUAUUGAGAACGAACCCCUUCAGAUGUGUCCCAGAUCAAAUAUCAACCUACCAACAACUGCCUGGCUGGGAAGUCUGGGGGAGGGAUACAGAGGUGUGUGGGUUCAUCUUCAUUCAUGUUCCUUACCCUCUCUCUCUCCUCCUUGUGAGAGUCUGGGUUUGGGAUCUUUAAAAUCAUCAGGGAGAAAUGAUAAAAAGAGAGCUGCUUUCCCUUUUACCUGAGAUGUUUGUCCUUAGGGAUAGCACAGUUGGUGUAACUCCUGUAGCUUAUCUUGUGACACUGUUUUGAGGUCCACUUCCCUUCUUUGCUCUGGGAGGAAUGUCUUCCCAUUCCUUUCCUUUUAAACCCUUUACAUCAGAAGGGAGCCCUUGGUAACCAGCUUUGGUCUUCUUCUGUCAUUCCUCCCUGCUUGCAUCUUGUUGCAGGGAGAGUCCUUUUGUACUUUGAGAUAUCUAGGUGAUUUUAUCUGCUCCCAAAGCAGGUCCAUACCAAGUCAUAGAGGCACCGUGGCCUCCACUUGGUGCAUUAGGCCUGAUCAUAGUAUUCUGCCAGACAGUACUUAAGAAUGACCUCGGAACAGUGUUGACCAAUUUGAGUGCCCAGUCUCAGUAAUUAUUUUUAAGUCCAAUGAGCAUUGUGAUAUUUGCUCUUGGAUUGCAGUUUCCUAUGUUUUGAACUUAAAGUUGAUUUUCAGAAUGUUUCUAGAAAAUAACUAUUUUUUUUCCUUUAUGGACCUGCUUUGUUUGGCUGCUGGGAUAGAUAAGCAUGGGCUUUAAGAUGUAUUCCUCCCAGUUUUCUUGCCUUUCCCAUUCUCUUCUUCCUGUCCUCCCCUGCUCCCUCCCUCUCUUCCUCUCUCCUUCCUUUCCUUUCUUUUUCUCUGCCAGGCCAUUUUUCAAAUUUACAUCAAAGAUACCUCAAGUGUUGGUAUCUGAUAAUAUCUGUCACUCCUCUUAUCUGAGGAGUGACCUUUUAUUUUUAAGAUGACGACAGACCUAUUUUUAGAUACGUUUUCAGUACAAUUUUGAACAGCAACUUAUUAAUGAAACAUCUUCCAGUGUUGAAGGUGAGAAAUGUCCAUAGGCAAGUCUGCUGUUCUAUGUUACCAUCCUUCGUCUCCCUGAGUCCCUUAGGAGCUCUUUUCUUCCUCAUCUAGUUUUGGGUGUGCAUGUUUGGAGUUUAUAGCGGGUGGUUUGUAAAGCUAGACCAUUCUGCCUUGAUAUGGGUGUUCAUGAAAACCUAAUUAUUUUCCUUACCGCUUUGCUUUGGCGUUCCUUCUCCCCACCUCUCCUGGGACUAUUGACUGGCACGAUAAUCUCAGGAGAGUGAUUCCCCCCAUAGAAAGACUAAAGCAUCCAUUCCCUCAUAGAAAGACAAAUAAAGUAGCCCCUAGUGUCCUGGGAUUUUCUAGUAGGGUUUGGUGCCUUGAACCCUCUUAUUAAGAAAUCAGAUCCCAGGGUGAGAGUAACAGGCCAAUUGGCUAAGAAAGAAAACUGUUUUUCUUUUGAACUAUGAAAAGACCCUGUUUGUGAAUACAUUUAGAAAGAAGAAAGGAAGGAUGUCUACAGAACUUUGUUCUGUUUUAUUGCUACAAAAUGUGAAUAGUUCAAAGUGAAAACCUUUUGUGAUGGUUGAUGUCUCUCAGGAAUAAGCUGGAUCUCCAAUGUUUUGGGGAUGCUCUGAGUCUCAAAAAUUGAUAAUCAGAAAAGUAUUUUUUGUUUGUUUGUUUAAUGUAACCCUGUUCUGAUUUUAAUUAAACUCCAAAUUUCGUCUCACAAAAAAAAAAA